AGCAAUAAGGUUACAUUCGGAAGAGGAUGUGCAAAAGAGAAUCCGGUGGGAAUCCGGAACGAUACCGUCACUGUGAAAGGGAAGCUGCUUUUGAGAACCACUGGGAGACCGGGAAGGGAAAUCAGCGUUGAACCAAGUCAGGAGAACUGCCUUAUUGU
rnacentral:ncRNA from 1 species